AACGAACGCUGGCGGCGUGGAUAAGACAUGCAAGUCGAACGGGACAGACCGAGUAGCAAUAUUUGGAAUGUUCAGUGGCGAACGGGUGCGUAACACGUGGAUAACAUUCCGGAAAGCGGGGAAUAGCCCAGGGAAACUUGGAUUAAUACCGCAUGUGGCCGCAAGGCUAAAGACGGGGAACGCUAGGCCUGUCACUUUCCGAUCGGUUCGCUGCCUAUCAGCUAGUUGGCGGGGUAAUGGCCCACCAAGGCUACGACGGGUAGCUGGUCUUAGAGGACGACCAGCCACACUGGAACUGAGACACGGUCCAGACACCUACGGGUGGCAGCAGUCGAGAAUCUUUCACAAUGGGGGCAACCCUGAUGGAGCGACGCCGCGUGGAGGAUAAGGUCUUCGGAUUGUAAACUCCUGUCAUGCGAGAACAAGGUACUCAGGCUAAUAACCUGAUUGUUUGAUGGUACCGCAAGAGGAAGAGACGGCUAACUCUGUGCCAGCAGCCGCGGUAAGAC
rnacentral:rRNA from 1 species